AUGAACAACAAAUGGCAAGCUGAAGUGUCUCUCGCCGGAAAUAUCGGACAGGUUUCUCUCGCCGGAGGUAUCAUCUCCGAUCCGAUCGGUGACUGUGAGAUCGCAAUUGAGUACGCCUCUCAUUUCAGCUUCAACCACUCAAAAGCUCUCCACUUCGCUUGCGAUGAGGAUUUCAAUCAGAUUCAGGAAUCUAUUAAAGAUUGUAAGAAGAAGCUAGAAGCUUGCAAGAAGAAAACAGAGGAAGCUUAUUCAGAUGAAUCAGCAGGAGACGAUGACAUUGUGCGUCUUCAGAAAGAGCUUGAUGAAGAUAUGGAACUAGAAAGCAAGAUAAAUGACGAGCUUAGAGUCGUUGCUGAUGAACUCAAAGACCUGAAUGCACAAUGGACAUUGGUUGAUGAAAAGAGGAGAUCUUUAAAGAGUAAAGACCAGACGACUUGAGAUCUGAGUAAGAUGCAGAAGAAGCUUUCUAUGUAUGCUUGUGUCACAAAGGUUAUACCAAAAGCAGACGUUAAUGACCCAUCAAAGAUAUCAGGCUGUAUCCUUCUAUGUAUGUUUGUGUCACAAAGGUUAUACCAGAAGCAGACGUUAAUGAUCCAUCAAAGAUAUCAGGCUGUAUCCUUCUAUGUAUGCUUGUGUCACAAAGGUUAUACCAGAAGCAGACGUUAAUGAUACAUCAAAGAUCUCAGGCUGUAUCCUUUUUCUUUUCAUCUUCUCUCUACUUCACGAGUCUCAUUCCUUGAGUGUUUUGAAUCCUUGAUUUGAAGUAUUCAUUAGAUAUGGUUUGAGAAGUUUCAAUUAGAGCAAAUAAGAUGACGGCCUAUGAGACAUGUAACAGUAUCGGGAGCAUCAUCAUAAACAAGCAAUCCUAUGAUAUCAAAUGAAUAAACAUAAACGCAAAGAACGUAAACAAGAAUUGAAAACCGCUGGGCUUCAUUCAUACCUUCUCUCCUAAGAAAGCUGGAGACAAACAUGCUUAGACCUGAUGGUCCAAUGACAUAACCAACAAGAUUUGCCAUCUGCAAAUUGAGAAACUUUAUAAAUACUUUCAUAAAGAUUUACUUAUAAUAUUUGUAAGAAUUUAUAAAUGAUCUAUAAACUCUUCUAACUGAUUUACAAAUUGAUUUAUAAACUCUUAUAAAUUGUAUUAUGAAGAUUAUUAAAUUCUUAUAAUCUUUGGAAUAAAAUAAAUAGAUAUAUAACCUUGUAAAUUAAUUUAUAAACACUUUUAAAUAAAUGUAUAAACUCUUACAAAUAGCUUAUAAGUUAAAUAGUUUUAUAAACUCUUUUAAAUAUUUUUAUAAACC